rnacentral:rRNA from 1 species
GUGCCAGCCGCCGCGGUAAUACGUAGGGUGCAGGCGUUAAUCGGAAUUACUGGGCGUAAAGCGUGCGCAGGCGGUUUCUUAAGUCAGAUGUGAAAGCCCCGGGCUUAACCUGGGGACUGCGUUUGAAACUGGGAGACUCGAGUGUGGCAGAGGGGGGUGGAAUUCCACGUGUAGCAGUGAAAUGCGUAGAUAUGUGGAGGAACACCGAUGGCGAAGGCAGCCCCCUGGGUCAACACUGACGCUCAUGCACGAAAGCGUGGGGAGCAAACAGGAUUAGAUACCCUGGUAGUCCACGCCCUAAACUAUGUCAACUGGUUGUCGGGGGAUUGAUUCCCUUGGUAACGAAGCUAACGCGUGAAGUUGACCGCCUGGGGAGUACGGUCGCAAGAUUAAAACUCAAAUGAAUUGACGGGG